AGGUAUGAAUGCUCUAAAGUAGUAGGGUGUAAUGUCCUUUAAAGAGAGAUAUAGGUAUAUAGAUAAAGGCAACAGGAGUAUACCGCUGUUCAAAACUCAUAAAUCCAUGGACAAAAAACAAAAUCGGGGUAACAAACUAAAACUGAGGGAAACGCAUUAAAUAUAAGAGGAGAACAACGACACAGCAUUAAAAUGUAACACACACAGAAACGGACUAAGCAUUAGACAAAAUCCUAUGAGAAGAACAAAGAUAACAUCAAAACCAAAUACAUGAAUUUGGAAUAGAUAAGUACCGUGACACGUCUUUUAGUAAUGUGAAUUCACACUCAAAAAUAAGAGAAAACAA
rnacentral:lncRNA from 1 species